CACGGAGCACAGCUAGCAGCUCUCAGCCUGUGGGAGCCUCUCGCACGGCCGCCUUUGAACACCCUGACUCCUGGGUUGGGAGCCAAGGCAGGGCUGGCCACACACACGGGUGGGAGCACAUGGAGGUGCGGGCUGGGCUGCUGGCUGGGGGGCUGCAAGUUUGUUGCUCUUCAAAGAAUAUAGCUGUGUACACAUAGCAACUUCGUCUGAAGGGCACGGUUUUGCAAAAUCAACAUAAAGUUCUCCUGUCCAGCCCAGACCUGGUUUGUGUUGCAGCCACAAACAACAACACCAGCACAACAUGAGGCCUUCUCCUUCAGCAGCUCACUGCUUGGAAAGAUUUCAAGAGCGCUUCUGUCUCAUUUUAUGCCCUACAGUUCAGCAGCCAAAUAUAAAGCAAAAUUGAAGGAACUACCAAGAGGACAAUUCUGAAUUGUUCUGUCAGCAGAGACUUCAUGUCCAGAAAGACAAAGAUUUAAAGAAGCAUCUCUUGAAAAAUACAUCGUGUUUCUACGCAUUCUCUCCUCCCUGCCAUGAACAUUAGAGAAGCAGCAUUUAAUCCCUGUAACAGCACAUACGCAGCCCAAAACAUGCAUCCCAUUUUGCUCCUGGCAUAGGCAGCUGAUAGAGAUGAGGGUAUUUGCAUCCCUCCUCACCACGUUAGCCUUGCUCCACACCAGAGUAUUAGGCAACUUCUAAAACCACCUAUCCUCUUUCCACCAUGCUAAAGAGAGCAGGACAUGAAAAAAGCAGCUUCAAUCUGUUACAGUUCCCACUUCACAGAGGCAACAAACCAGGAGCUGCACAUUUUGUAACAGAAACUUAAAACGAGAAGAAACACCAGCACUCCCAGAGCUAAAGCUAGUUAUGUGAAUUAUGCUUCCUCUUUAUAGCUUAGUCUCACAACAGACUGCCAAUAUUUAUCUAUUUUGCUUUUUCUGACAGUAUUUUUACUAGCUAUCAGCAUACAGUUGAUACCACCAAGAAGAAACUAGCAUUUAGUGGUGACAGUAGUUGCCUAUUGCUUGGUACUGUGUAAACAGAGGUAAUUAGAACUUCACUACAGUGUUUAUAAAACCCUUUAGAUAGCCAAAAUGCCUUUCAUGUAUUCAAAUAAGUGAUGUCAAUACAAUGUGAU
rnacentral:lncRNA from 1 species